GGAACUGACAACUACUACACUACAAUCAUCUCCCACUGCUAGGCGCAGUGUCCACGCCUGUCAUCGCAGCAACUCAGAAGACUGAGGAGGCAGGAGGAUUCAGGAUUGAGGCCAAGCCUGGGCAACUUAGACUGACAAUUGAAUUCAGGGCUGCUCUACCACUGAGCUGCACUCCAGACCUUUUAUUUUGGGACAGGGUCUUCCUGAGUGGCCCAGGAGGGCCCUGAACUUGUGACCCUCCUGCUCUGACUCCCGAGUGGCUGGGAUGAUAAGCAUGGCCACUGUGCCUGGACCUGGUCACUAUACUUUUCACUACAGUUAUCAAAGAACAGAAUGCACUGUCAUAGAAUUGAAGAUCUGGAACCCCUUGGAUUGUCCCGUUUGUUCCUGUGGUAUCCACAGAUUCCUUAGUUUUAAGUCACUGGCGCUGUCUUUCCUAGUGUCCAUCUUCAUGGGUUUUCCGUUUCCGAGGUGUGCUGGGGGAGGGUUGCCUGUGUCUCUCCUGUUCAGUGGUGCUGGUGCUGGCUCUAUGGGCCAUGGCUAGGGCAACAGCUUCUGAUUCUUUCCCUGUUUCAGAUAUUUGCAUGUUUUGUUAAAUUCUACUUGAUGUCUAUUUGUAAAGAGCAGUAUAAAUAAAUAAAAUUUUAAAAAAAUUUAAAAAGCAA